UCCUACCAGACCAAGAGGAAACCUAGCCGCGUUCUCCUCUGCGGCACGCAACCUUUGUCCCCUCUAGAUAUAGAACAACACGCCUCGUCCACCCAUACCUCGAUCUCGGGGUAAGCUCAGUUCGGCGUCCAUGAUUUGUUCCCAUCACCCGUUUGUUAUCUGAAUCCCAGGUUUCUCCUUCUGAUCGGCGAGUUGGGGCUUGCGGCGAUCUUGGAGAAAAGACGGGAGGCAAGCUGCAUCUGCGCACGGAAGCUUCCGAUCUGCCCGGCUGGCGUCUCAGAUCUGUUGCUGAUCUGAUGCUUCACGGCGGAUCUGGUUGUUCCCGGCGGUCUCAAGUCGGCGCAGCGGCUGGCGGCGAGUUUUCCGGCAAGCACGUGAGAUCCCGUCUGCUCCUCUACCUCGUGCGACGACGGCCAACGGCUCUUUGUGUUGAUAAUAAUUAUUCGAUGAUAUGUCGAUAAUUAUUAGAUCUAAGAGAUCGGAGGUGACGUAAGGUAAGAGCAUGUAACAAGCGAGGUGCUUGUGGAGAGGGCGGAGAAGAUUGAGAAAAAGGAGAUGUGAACA